GAACAAACAAAAUCGAUUAUCAUCACUUGAAUGAAACUUCUUUGUGUAAUAUCUACAAAUUAUCGCUGCUACAUUGUACGUACGAUGGGUGAAUUCAGAGAAUUCAUUUCAGUUAAGUGAUUUUCUUCACAUUUUGACAAGUUCACGAAUAACCAUUCCCUAGCUUUUACAUCACCAACCAACAAGACACUUGCUCCAUAUCAUAGACUUCAAAGUAAAAUGAAGGAAAAUUAUGAGGGAUUACUUUGAAAUUUCCACUACCUAUGCUAGGUUUAGCCCAUUCAACAAGCCAUUUUGAAUUUUUGUUGCCCAAACAAAAAUAGCAACAGGACAUAAUGUAAAUUUCUCAACAAAAGUCUUCUCUUCCUUGACUGAUCACCAAGUUUAAGGUGCUUAAUUAGAUUUUUGAAAUUUCAAAACCUAGGCAGACAAAGAAGCAUAUACAUAGAGCAUGAAAUUGACUAUUCCAUUAACUUGUCAAACAUGGUUAUUGAAAUUUGGAAGUACUUGCAUCUUCUGGGAGAGUUUAGAUCUCUACCAGAUUAUCUAUUCGGUUCUUCUUAGAGGAGAAGAAAAUGAGAGAGAAGUAAGGUUUACUAUUUCUGAAGGAGUAGGUUGUUUUACUCUUUAUAGAUACCAUCCCAAGGACCUGAGUCUGAAAUACCAUUAUCAUGCUGAGGCUUAAAUGUUUUGCUGGAGGACCGCCUUUAGGAGGCUGCUUCUCUCAUACCCAUUUCAAAAUUCCUCCAUAACCAACCACCAAUCAAAACCAUGAAACUGUCCCCAUCAAAUCCCACUUCCAAGCAUUUAACAUAUAACUAGAAUCAUAUAAUUAUACCGACUCAAUGAGUUAAAAAUUAUAAUUAAUUAGAGACUCAUUUGCACUUUACAUUCAAAUCAACUCCUCUUCCAUGCCCAUAAUCUCAGAAGUAAGUAUUGCUUGGGGAGAUAGAAGGAUUAAUCAGUAUUAAUUAGCACUAAAAAGGAUGAAACUAAUAUCUCAAACCCCUCUCAAAGGAGAUUGAUGGGUCAAUAAUACAAAAUAUGAAGACCCACCAAGUCAACCCUAACCACCACCAUACCUUAGACCUAAGAAUUUUAACACGAUAAAAUAUGCAGAUGAGGUACGCUGUUACAACUAUUUCCUGCCCCUUUCAUAUUUUACACUUUCCAACCUCCUCUUUUCUAACAUAAAUAUAGGAUCAUUAAUAAUUUCUUAUAAUGACCAAAAUGUCCUCGUUUAUGAUUCUUAAUCACGACCGAGGACGCAGGCCAUAAAACAGGGCUGCUGGCGCUGUUGGGGGCCACGGGUUAAUGGGGAUGGGCCUGUGGUGGUGAGUGGGACCCAUGCGAGGAUGCGAGGGACCAACGGUUGAUGAUGCGGCUGGUGGGACAGCAACACGCUCACAUGAGGGGCACAUGGUGAGCGUGGUGGGUGGGUUCAUUUGCAUGUAGAACUGUGGGG
rnacentral:misc_RNA from 1 species